rnacentral:rRNA from 1 species
GUAGGGAAUAUUGCGCAAUGGACGAAAGUCUGACGCAGCGACGCCGCGUGAGUGAUGAAGGCCUUAGGGUCGUAAAGCUCUGUUGAAUGGGAAGAAAAAAAUGACGGUACCAUUCGAGGAAGGACCGGCUAACUUCGUGCCAGCAGCCGCGGUAAUACGAGGGGUCCUAGCGUUGUUCGGAAUCAUUGGGCGUAAAGGGUGUGUAGGUGGCCAUGUAAGUCAGGUGUGAAAGCCCCGGGCUCAACCCGGGAAGUGCACUUGAUACUGCGUGGCUUGAGUACCGAAGAGGGUAGUGGAAUUCCAGGUGUAGUGGUGAAAUACGUAGAUAUCUGGAGGAACACCGGUGGCGAAGGCGGCUACCUGGUCGAGUACUGACACUGAGACACGAAAGCAUGGGGAUCAAACAGGAUUAGAAACCCUUGUAGUCC